rnacentral:rRNA from 1 species
AUUGAACGCUGGCGGCAGGCUUAACACAUGCAAGUCGAACGAGUGGCGGACGGGUGAGUAAUGCUUGGGAAUCUGGCUUAUGGAGGGGGAUAAAUAGGGGAAAAUGUAGCUAAUACCGCGUACCAUAGGAGGAGCCCAAGUGGGAUUAGUUAGUUGGUGGGGGAAAGGCUCACCUAGGAGAAGAUCGCUCGCUGGUCUGAGAGGAUGACCAGCCACACGGGGACUGUGACACGGCCCAGACUCCUACGGGAGGCAGCAGUGGGGAAUAUUGCACAAUGGGCACAAGCCUGAUGCAGCCAUGCCGCGUGUAUGAAGAAGGCCUUAGGGUUGUAAAGUACUUUCAGCGGGGAGGCGUUACCCGCAGAAGAAGCACCGGCUAACUCCGUGCCAGCCGCCGCGGUAAUAC